UGUCGUCAGCUCGUGUCGUGAGAUGUUGGGUUAAGUCCCGCAACGAGCGCAACCCUCAUCCUUAGUUACCAUCAGGUAAUGCUGGGGACUUUAAGGAAACUGCCAGUGAUAAACUGGAGGAAGGUGGGGAUGAUGUCAAGUCAUCAUGGCCCUUAUGGAGUGGGCUACACACGUGCUACAAUGGUGGCUACAAUGGGCUGCAAAGCCGCGAGGCUAAGCCAAUCCCUUAAAAACCAUCUCAGUUCAGAUUGUACUCUGCAACUCGAGUGCAUGAAGUUGGAAUCGCUAGUAAUCGUGGAUCAGCACGCCACGGUGAAUACGUUCUCGGGUCUUGUACACACUGCCCGUCACGCCAUGGGAAUUG
rnacentral:rRNA from 1 species